rnacentral:ribozyme from 1 species
AAUGAGGAAAGUAGUACAACAACAAUGCUGUUAUGGAAAAGAAAAUAUGUAGACAGUAUCACCACCUGCUAGCUCGGUUUCUUCUUUUUUUUUCUUUUUUGUCUUAUUCAUAUAUAUACUACUUACUACUUAUAAUAAUGG